GUGGAUUAGAUACCCGGGUAGUCCACGCCCUAAACGAUGCUGACUAGUUGUUCGGGAUUUACAUCCUGAGUAACGUAGCUAACGCGUGAAGUCAGCCGCCUGGGGAGUACGGUCGCAAGAUUAAAACUCAAAGGAAUUGACGGGGACCCGCACAAGCGGUGGAUGAUGUGGAUUAAUUCGAUGCAACGCGAAAAACCUUACCUACCCUUGACAUGUCACUAACGAAGUAGAGAUACAUUAGGUGCCCGUAAGGGAAAGUGAACACAGGUGCUGCACGGCCGUCGCCUACU
rnacentral:rRNA from 1 species